CUCCUGGUUGAUCCUGCCUGCAGCAUACGCUUGUCUCAGAGAUUAAGGCAGGCAUGUCUAAGUACACAUGGCUGGUACAGUGAAACCACGACUGGCUCAUUAAAUCAGUUAUGGUUCCUUUUGGUCACUUCAACCGCUACUGGGAUAACUGUGGUAAUUCUAGCACUAAUACAUGCUGAUGAGUGCUGACCUCCAGGGAUGCAUGCAUUUAUCAGAUCAAAACCUACCUGGGCUUGCCCGGCCGCUUUGGUGUCUCUAGAUAACCUCAGGCCAAUCGCGUUUCCUUGUGGCAAUGUCAAUGCAUUCAAAUGUUUGGCCUAUCAACUUUUGAUCAGAUACUGUCAUAGUUCCGACCAUAAACGAUGCUGACUAGUGAUCCAGCAUGACCUGCCGGGCAGCUUAAGGGAAACCAAAGUCUUUGAGUUCCAAGUGGGGUAUGAUUGCAAAGCUGAAACUUAAAGGAACGGAAGGAAGGGCACUACCAAGAGUGGAGAUUGGAGGUUAAUUUGACUCAACAUGGGCAACCUCACCUGGCCUGGACACGGAAAGGAUUGACAGACUGAUAGCUCUUCCUUGAUUUUGUGGGUGAUGGUGCAUGGCUGUUUGUAGUAGGUGGAGUGAUAUGUCUGGUUAAUUUUGACAACGAACAAGACUCUGGCAUGCUAACUAGCUAUGCAACCCCAGAGAGGUCGGCACCUAACUUCUCAGAGGGACAAGUGGCAUUCGGCCAACUGAGAUUGAGCAAUAACAGGUCUGUGAUGCCAGUGUGAUACCUGCCCUAUGCUGACAGGUGGAGGUAACCUGUUGAACUCCAUUCAUGAUGGGGAACAGGGAGUGCAAUUGUUCCCGAUGAAUGACAAAUUUCCAGUAAGUGCGGGUCAUAAGCUUGCGUUGAUUAACAACCUGCCAUUUGUACACACCACCCUUUGCUACUAGCAAUUGGAUGGUUUAUUGAGCUCCUCAGAUUGACCCUGCCAGGGUCGGUCACAGCCCUGGUGGAGCGCCGAGAAGAUGGUCAAACUUGACUAUCUAGAAGAAGUAAAAGUUGUAACCAGGUUUCUAUAGAUAAACCUGCAAAAGGCUCAUGA
rnacentral:rRNA from 1 species